UUUUUUUUCCUUUUUCACCUAACCUUAUCACUACAGCCAGUUCACUCCUCUCCGUCUACUCAUCUUCCCGCCGCGUCGCCCCCAUCCUCCUCAACCGCGCAUCGCCGCCGGCCUCCUCCCUCACCCCCACAGCCACCACAACCGACGACCUCACCUCCCACCGCUGCCCCCUCUCAUCCCUCCCCACGGCUCAUCAGAGAAGAAAAGUGGCAGAUCGAGCGGCCAGAUCCGCCUACAUCCGGCCCAGUUGCAACAGCCGACGACCGCGGUGAGGGCGGGCGGCACCAACGCGCCGCUCUCGGCCGUGGAGCUGCUCCCGCCGGGCCACCCGGACCCGUCCUUCGCCUGCUCGCCUCCGCCGGCGUCUUCUCCGAACACACAGCCGACGGCGGCCGGAGGCGGUACGCGCUUGGGCUGGCGUGGCCGCGGCUCCGUGAGGCCGUGCUUGAGCCCUUUGCGCGCGCCCACGCCGGCGUCCCCGCCUACGCCUACUACGGCCUGGACCGGGAGGCGAACGAUGUGAUGCUCCGGGCCAUGACCGGCGUAUCAGAGCCGUUCAUGGAGGUGUUGCUGGACGGGUAUUGCCCCGGUGGAUGGUUUGAGGGCGUGGCCACGCUCGUCAACGUCGGUGGCAGCUCCGGCGCCUGCCUCGGGAUAAUCAUGCGCAGGGUGCCCACCAUCCGCCAGGGAGUCAACUUCGACCUGCCGGACUUCGUCGCGGCCGCGCCUCCCAUCUCUGGAUGA
rnacentral:rRNA from 1 species